GAAAAAAAAACUCACUUUUUAUGGGAUUUGGGCUGUUACUUGGUGUCUCUGGUGCUUCCCCACGCAUACAAACUUUGGAAA